rnacentral:rRNA from 1 species
AGCAGCCGCGGUAAUUCCAGUUCCAAUAGCGUAUAUUAAAGUUGUUGCAGUUAAAAAGCUCGUAGUUGAAUUUCGGGAUCAAUACGUUGGUCGUGCUUUCGGGUACGUACUGGCGUCAUUGGUUUCUCUCUUCUGACGAACCAUGAUGUCAUUAGUUUGGUGUUAUGGGGAGUUAGGACUGUUACUUUGAAAAAAUUAGAGUGUUUAAAGCAGGCAUUAGCUUGAAUACAUUAGCAUGGAAUAAUGAAAUAGGACGUUUGAUCCUAUUUUGUUGGUUUCUAGGAUCGACGUAAUGAUUAAUAGGGAUAGUUGGGGGCAUUAGUAUUCAAUUGUCAGAGGUGAAAUUCUUGGAUUUAUUGAAGACUAACUACUGCGAAAGCAUUUGCCAAGGAUGUUUUCAUUAAUCAAGAACGAAAGUUAGGGGAUCGAAGACGAUCAGAUACCGUCGUAGUCUUAACCAUAAACUAUGCCGACUAGGGAUCGGAUGAUGUUAAUUUUUAGUGACUCAUUCGGCGCCUUA